UGGGAAUAUUGCACAAUGGGCGAAAGCCUGAUGCAGCCAUGCCGCGUGUGUGAAGAAGGCUCUAGGGUUGUAAAGCACUUUCAGUAGGGAGGAAAGGUUGAAGGUUAAUACCCUUCAGCUGUGACGUUACCUACAGAAGAAGCACCGGCUAACUCCGUGCCAGCAGCCGCGGUAAUACGGAGGGUGCAAGCGUUAAUCGGAAUUACUGGGCGUAAAGCGUGCGUAGGCGGCUACCUAAGUUGGAUGUGAAAGCCCCGGGGCUCAACCUGGGAACUGCAUCCAAAACUGGGUGGCUAGAGUGCGAGAGAGGAGUGUGGAAUUUCCUGUGUAGCGGUGAAAUGCGUAGAUAUAGGAAGGAACACCCAGUGGCGAAGGCGACACUCUGGCUUGACACUGACGCUGAGGUACGAAAAGCGUGGGGGAGCAAAUCAGGAUUAGAUACCCGUGGUAGUCCACGCCGUAAAA
rnacentral:rRNA from 1 species